GCCCAUGGGGUUGUGCUCUCUGCAGUAGAACCUGAAUGUUUAGCAGUUCAGCUCAUGAAAGGACAACAGUAUCUGAUACCUUACCUUGCCAAGUGAUCUUCAGGAUCUCCUAGGAAAAUUCAAAUGGAAGUGAUUCUUUUUCCUGGCUUGGUGUUGGUAGACUGUCCAGAUUUCACAGAGCCUUCCAAAUGCUGAGCUAGCUCUGGCAGUGUGUGCAUCAACCUCACCAUCUAUGUGGACAGCCCUGGAGAAUGUAUUGCCAAGCAUGGGCCCCCCUGGCAAUGGCCUUGGGCCCUAGAGCAA